AGUGAACGCUGGCGGUAGGCCUAACACAUGCAAGUCGAACGGCAGCACAGUAAGAGCUUGCUCUUACGGGUGGCGAGUGGCGGACGGGUGAGGAAUACAUCGGAAUCUACUUUUUCGUGGGGGAUAACGUAGGGAAACUUACGCUAAUACCGCAUACGACCUACGGGUGAAAGCAGGGGAUCUUCGGACCUUGCGCGAUUGAAUGAGCCGAUGUCGGAUUAGCUAGUUGGCGGGGUAAAGGCCCACCAAGGCGACGAUCCGUAGCUGGUCUGAGAGGAUGAUCAGCCACACGGGAACUGAGACACGGUCCAGACUCCUACGGGAGGCAGCAGUGGGGAAUAUUGGACAAUGGGGGCAAGCCUGAUCCAGCCAGACCGCGUGGGUGAAGAAGGCCUUCGGGUUGUAAAGCCCUUUUGUUGGGAAAGAAAAGCAGCAGGUUAAUACCCCGCUGUUCUGACGGUACCCAAAGAAUAAGCACCGGCUAACUUCGUG
rnacentral:rRNA from 1 species